ensembl:snoRNA SNORD63 Small nucleolar RNA SNORD63
UUGCAGUGAUAUAUUGCCACAACAUCAUUCUGAAGAAAAGUGAUGAUUUCCUGUGACUAUGAACA